rnacentral:rRNA from 1 species
AUACGGAGGGUGCAAGCGUUAAUCGGAAUUACUGGGCGUAAAGAGUACGUAGGUGGUUUAUUAAGUCAGAUGUGAAAGCCCCGGGCUCAACCUGGGAACUGCAUUUGAAACUGAUAGACUAGAGUAUGGUAGAGGGGGGUAGAAUUUCUAGUGUAGCGGUGAAAUGCGUAGAUAUUAGAAGGAAUACCAGUGGCGAAGGCGGCCCCCUGGACCAAUACUGACACUGAGGUACGAAAGCGUGGGUAGCGUACAGGAUUAGAAACCCCAGUAGUCC